rnacentral:rRNA from 1 species
AUUGAACGCUGGCGGCAGGCCUAACACAUGCAAGUCGAACGAGUGGCGGACGGGUGAGUAAUGUCUGGGACACUGCCCGACGGCGGGGGGUAGCUAUUGGAAACGGUAGCUAUUACCGCAUACCAUGGGGUAUGCCCAGAUGGGAUUAGAUAGUGGGUGGGGUAACGGCCCACAUCGGCGACGAUCCCUAGCUGGUCUGAGAGGAUGACCAGCAAAACUGGAACCGUGACACGGUCCAGACUCCUACGGGAGGCAGCAGGGGGGAAGAUUGGACAAGGGGCGCAAGCCUGAUGCAGCCAUGCCGCGUGUAUGAAGAAGGCCUUGGGGUUGUAAAGUACUUUCAGCGGGGAGGCGUUACCCGCAGAAGAAGCACCGGCUAACUCCGUGCCAGCAGCCGCGGUAAUAC